GUCCGAAGCUAAGCCAACCUAAUUUGAAACUGAACCAAUCCAGUGAUCAAUCAAGUCGAUCUAGUUUGGAGCUUAGCUGACUCAGUGAAGAGGAGAACAAACCCAACCUCAAAGGAAGAUGAAUAUAGAAAGUCAUAAGAAUCAAUAAAUUGUUUGAGCCAAGCCAGAAAAUCUUCUGAACCAAGCCAAAGAAUCAAUCAAGCUAGAGAAUCUUUUAAAUUGACCUACAAAAUUAGUGAGCCGAAUCAGAGAAUCU
rnacentral:lncRNA from 1 species